UUGAACGCUGGCGGCAUGCCUUACACAUGCAAGUCGAACGGCAGCACGGGAGCAAUCCUGGUGGCGAGUGGCGAACGGGUGAGUAAUAUAUCGGAACGUGCCCAGUCGUGGGGGAUAACGUAGAGAAAUUUACGCUAAUACCGCAUACGAUCUAAGGAUGAAAGCGGGGGAUCGCAAGACCUCGCGCGAUUGGAGCGGCUGAUAUCAGAUUAGGUUGUUGGUGAGGUAAAAGCUCACCAAGCCGACGAUCUGUAGCUGGUUUGAGAGAACGACCAGCCACACUGGGACUGAGACACGGCCCAGACUCCUACGGGAGGCAGCAGUGGGGAAUUUUGGACAAUGGGCGAAAGCCUGAUCCAGCAAUGCCGCGUGCAGGAAGAAGGCCUUCGGGUUGUAAACUGCUUUUGUACGGAACGAAACGGCUCUUUCUAAUAAAGAGGGCUAAUGACGGUACCGUAAGAAUAAGCACCGGCUAACUACGU
rnacentral:rRNA from 1 species